GAUCACCGAAGUUAAGCAGCGUCAGGCUCGGUUAGUACUUGGAUGGGAGACCGCCUGGGAAUACCAAGUGUUGUAGGCU
rnacentral:rRNA from 1 species